rnacentral:rRNA from 1 species
GGAGGAACCUGGCGCCGAUCCUCUUGGCCAGUCCAAGCAUGUUGAGUGUACCAACCACAUUGGAUAUGAUUGUCUUGACGGGGUUGUACUUGUAGUGGACGGGGGAUGCGGGACAGGCGAGAUGGUAGAUCUGGUCGACCUCGAGGAGGAUGGGCUCGACGACGUCGUGGCGGAUCAUCUCGAAGUUGGGGUUGCCGAAGUGGUGCAUCACGUUCUCCUUGCGGCCCGUGAAGAGGUUGUCCACCACGAUCACGCUGUCGCCGCGCGCCACCAGGCGGUCCACCAGGUGGCUGCCCACGAAGCCGGCGCCGCCGGUGACGAGGACGCGCAGCCCCUUGCGCUUCAGCCCCAGGGGCACCUUGCCGGCCACGAACUGGCGGCCCGGGUUGUGCGCCGCGGGGUCGACGGAGAAGCGGGUGAGCGCGCCGGAGACGGCGGCCGCGCGUCCGGAGGAGGAGUAGGGGGCGGCGGUGCCGGAGCCGGAGCCGGAGGGGGCGGCGAGGCAGAAGAGGGCCGCGGCGAAGAGCAUGCCGACGAGGGCGAAGAGCGGGCGGUGCUCGGCCGCGGCGUAGCGGGCGGCGCGGGGCAGCCACGCGAGCGGCUUGGAGCUGGCGGGCUUCGCGGACGAAUACUCGCCGGCGCCGGCGGCGCCCGCGGACGGGGACGCAGCCCCGCCACGGUACGUGAGCUCGGACGCCAUCUCCGGCGGGCCGAGGCAAGAAGGACCCGGUGGCGUGGCCGGAGAAGUGUGGGGCCCCCCGUGUAAGAGGGAGCGCAGGGACCUCGCCGCAGG